UUUUUACUUAUUUUUGACUCCCCUCAUUUGAACUGGAGCCUUGUUUUCAUUACGUAUCGGCAAACCAUUAACAGAAGCCAGUUGUUUAUAGAAUUGCACGACUUUGGGGUGUGCCAUCACCUUCGCAGGCGAAAAAUUAAGAACCUGGAGACCUUCUUGAGUAGUUGCACGAGAUAAGGCAACAUACGCUUGCCCUUUCUCAAAAACACGACCCAAAUCAACCUUGACUCGAUCCAAAGUCUGUCCUUGUGCCUUGUGAAUAGAUAUCGCAUAAGCCAAAAUAAGAGGAAUUUGGCUUCUAGAAGCUUGAACCUCACCAUUGGGAAGCUCAAUAUUCCAAGUUUCCCGUUGUACAACAAUUGUACGUUCACCUCCAUUUGGAAGUUUAAAACGAACUAAUGGCCAUUUUAUUGCCGUGGAUGAAGCUUUACGCAUUGCAAUCAAUUUAUAUUUCUUUUGCUUAACGUCUGGAAGAUCAAAGGGUGAAAUGUCUAAACUAUCAUAUUCAAAAGCAUUUCUUCCCUGCAUUUCAGCAUCCUUUUUUUCCAUUUGAUAGGUCUCAUCAUCUAUGAAACCUAUAACUUUUCCAAGAGAUCCAUUUACUAACUGAUCAUCUAUAUUCUUUAUAAGCAUUACCUGAGCAUUUACCUUUAACACUAAAGUGGCAGGAGCCAUGCACCCUUGCAGUAAUCGGUCACGAAAUUCUUUAUCUCGAACAGUACCCGAGUCAAUAGCGGUAAACGUGACAGGAUUUUGAUUAAUUUGUUGCAUACGCAUAUCGUUCGAACGCUCAACCUCAUAACGUGUGGGAAAUAACUCUGUCGGAAGAAGCCCAUCUUCAUAUUCAAUCGUUCUAUUAAGAACUUUGAAUUUUCUAACCGAUUCAUCAGAUAAUUUCCCGAGGCGCAAUUCAUUAAGCAUUUUGACAAAUUCCUCAUCCUUUUGCCGAAAAACGUGAGUCAAUCCUAUUGUAAAAUCAAGUGCGCUUUUCCAUGUCUGAGAUUCGAAACAGAAUUUCGAUUCUUUCCCAUUUUCUGGAACAGGAGGUAACUGAAAAAAAUCCCCAGUUAAAACCAACUGAAUUCCACCAAAUGGCUUACUAUCUUUGCGAAUAACACGCGCAACCUCUUCUAACUUGUCCAUUAAUUCAGCAUCGACCAUAGAAACUAUAGUUAUUAGUAAAUAUAAACUCACUUAAAUUGUUUACCUUCAUCAAUGAUCAAAACUCUGGUGCGCAACCAACGAUUAACACACUUCUUAUUUUUCUUUAUUUUAGAUACCAGGAGGUCGACAGAUUCACGAGCAAGGCCUACCCCAGCAAAGGAGUGAAGUGUUACACCGCCGAUAUUACAGGCUGCCAAGCCUGUAGAAGCGGUAACAGCAACUCUGUCAGAUUGCUUUCUAUAUUUAGAUUUUAGGACUUCAAUUAUUUUUCGGAGGAGAACAGAUUUACCUGUUCCAGCAGAGCCCGUAAAAAAUAUACUGUGUUGUUGCUCAACAACCAUGUCUAAAAUUCUUUUUUGCUCAUCGGAAAGGAAUAUGCUAGGGACAGAUUUUUUACGAGAAUCACUUGUCUUAAACAAAGAAGAUCCUAUUGGCGAUUUGGAAGCAGAGUUUAAAGGAACAGAAAAUUUUUUAGAUAUCUGUGGGGUAGACUUAGAUUUACUCAUGCGUUUUUUAGCCAGACUAUCCAAAGAACUGCUUCGUCCAUUGCUAAGCUUAUUUGAAGAAUCAUUAGAUACAGUGUGUUGACUGAUAUCAGCUGAAGUGCUGGUUCUUUUAGGAUCAGGAUCUCCAUAUCUGUAAGGAUCCACUGCCCAAGGAAGGGUUCGUGAGCGUUUUAUUCCCUGCCUCGUAAUAUUACUAGAUAUUACGCUACUUGCGCCUUUUUCAGAAGUAUGGUCUUCGUAAAUUUUUGAGAGAUGAUUUUUUGACCGCUUUUCGCUCGAGAGCAUUGAUUUAGUUAACUUAGUAUGCUCGAUAGGGGAUGAAGACCAAGGAAUUGGUUUUUGGUCAAUAUCGUUUUCUAAAAGUAGAUCAUCAUCAAAGUCAUUUUCAUCAAUAUAGACGCCAUUCGCUAUUUCAGUGGAGUAUUUACUACCCAAGCCAGAAUUUUCAAAAACGGGCAGUGAGGGUUUCGAAACAUCGAAUCCCACGGUGUUAUCAAGUUGUUUUAAGCUAGCAGCAGAACGACCUCUUUUGGCUGGUAGGGUUAUUGGAGAUGACGGAAGGUUAUCAGACUGGCUAGAAAAUGUUUGCUGAUCAUCAUUAGUAGAGGAGCGAGAGGAAUUGAAGUUUAAAGAAGCGGACGAAAAACCGCCCAAUUUGUUCAAGGAGGGUUGAUGCGAUGACUCGUUUUGUGUAUGAAGCAAGCUGCUUUUCUGCUGAGCUCUUUGAAACAUGACGGGGAUACGUUUCCUAAAAGAGUGACUAAAUUUAUAAAGAGAUUGGCACGAAAACAUUCAUCGAAUUACUUCAAGAAACUGGAAGGCGAUCUGUACGCAGGUUGUCUAAAAAAAGAAACCGUAAACGAAAUAGAUCACCCAAAAUUGUUUGAUCGAAGAAAAGCAACAAGAAAACAAUUUCAGUUUGAAUUUAAACAACAAUCUGCUACUGACUUAUGCGACCUCGACCUAACACCUAUGAUAAGCGGUCCAAGCACAUAAGAGUUGGAAGUAUCCCUUUGUUGAUUGUAUUAAUUGGGAUACCGGUUGAAGAAAUUUGUCAAUGUCGAGGAAACGGCUGUUGACAAGGAGGUACAGAAAUGAAAGCGCUAUACUAAUAAAAAUCAAAUUUACGGUGGUAGUGGACGAGACAAAUGAAAGCGCGUAUGUCAAGACGCGUCACGUCUGUCACCACCAGGCACGUGUUUUUUACUUCACAACUUUUGCACAAAUUUUUUAUCAUUCAAUACUGUAAUUAUCAUAAAGUCCUUUUUACAUUAGUCGUUCCUUAAGUAUAACUUGCAUAAUUUGCUUUCGGGGCCUAUGCAAUGCAAUGCAAAUAAAUUGACUUUUGUUAUAAUAUGUUACAAUCGAAGCAAAUAUUAACCCGUGUUUACAGUAAGUUAUUAAUUUUAUAAUAUUUGAUAAAACGCGUCUACGAUACCAUAUCCUCGGAAGUCUGUAAAUAAUAAAUGCUAUCAAUUAAUAAAUUAUAUACUGUAUGUAGACUAAAACAAUCAAUACUAAGUCGAAAAUUCAAUAAUGAGCGACAAACGAUUUAAAUUCGUUGACCAACCAACUUUGGUAAAGAUACACAAAAACAUGCAUCUUUAGGUAAGUAUCGUGUUCUUCAGCAGUCCGUGUCAAACAUCCCGUUUUAAAGAGACUUUAGAAGUGGAAAAUAACAUAAAAAUACAAGGUUACGGUUAUCACAAAUACCUAGAGUCAUAGGAGGGAUAACUUCAACAGUAAGGAUUGCCAAUCGAUUUGUACUACCGACAAAUUUAAAAGGAAGAA